rnacentral:misc_RNA from 1 species
GAUGAAGAACGUAGUGAAAUGCGAUAAGUAAUGUGAAUUGCAGAAUUCAGUGAACCAUCGAAUCUUUGAACGCACAUUGCGCCCGGCAGUAAUCUGCCGGGCAUGCCUGUCCGAGCGUCAUUACUCCCCUCGAGCGCAGCUUUCCCCCCCGGGGGAGGGCCGCGCCCGGUGUUGGGGCGCUACGGAGGAGCCCAGCGCUCCCCCGUAGGCCCCGAAAUGUAGUGGCGGUCCCGCCGCGGCGCCCCCUGCGUAGUAGUUUUACAACUCGCAUCGGGUCCCGGCGGAGGCCAGCCGUCAAACCCCCCAACUUCAAUAGUUUGACCUCGGAUCAGGUAGGGUUACCCGCUGAACUUAAGCAUAUCAAUAAGCGGAGGA